rnacentral:misc_RNA from 1 species
GUCUGAAGUUGCUCCAGAAACUUCUUAUCAUGCAAAGCUAAAUCGAAAACAAAAGCAGACCAUCCGAUUCAAAUACUCCAACCCCAUCCUACGGUCCACAUAAAACCAUGCCGAGCCCAUCUCCUACGAUCCUCACUGCACUGUCUUGUCUCUCUUUCAAUUCCACCGCUCUUACUCCGCGCUUCAAUGGCAACUGUCCUCAAAACGCCGCCGUUG